AUUGAACGCUGGCGGCAGGCCUAACACAUGCAAGUCGAGCGGUAGAGAGGUGCUUGCAUCUCUUGAGAGCGGCGGACGGGUGAGUAAUGCCUAGGAAUCUGCCUAGUGGUGGGGGGAUAACGUUCGGAAACGGACGCUAAUACCGCAUACGUCCUACGGGAGAAAGCGGGGGGAUCUUCGGACCUCGCGCCAUUAGAUGAGCCUAGGUCGGAUUAGCUAGUUGGUGAGGUAAUGGCUCACCAAGGCGACGAUCCGUAACUGGUCUGAGAGGAUGAUCAGUCACACUGGAACUGAGACACGGUCCAGACUCCUACGGGAGGCAGCAGUGGGGAAUAUUGGACAAUGGGCGAAAGACCUGAUCAGCCAUGCCGCGUGUGUGAAGAAGGUC
rnacentral:rRNA from 1 species